GACGAACCGUGCAAACGUUAUUCGGAAUCACUGGGCUUAAAGGGCGCGUAGGCGGGCUGGCCAGUCUGUGGUGAAAUCCCCCGGCUUAACCGGGGAACUGCCGUGGAUACUGCCAGUCUCGAGGAGGGUAGGGGCAUCUGGAACAGCCGGUGGAGCGGUGAAAUGCGUUGAUAUCGGCUGGAACUCCGGUGGCGAAGGCGGCAUCCUGGACCGACAUUGACGCUGAGGAGCGAAAGCCAGGGGAGCAAACGGG
rnacentral:rRNA from 1 species